GAUCAUGGCUCAAGACGAACGCUGGCGGCGUGCUUAACACAUGCAAGUCGAGCGAUGAAACACCUUCGGGUGUGAAUUAGCGGCGAACGGGUGAGGAACACGUGAAGAAUCUGCCUUCAACUCUGGGAUAACUCCGGGAAACCGGGGCUAAUACCGGAUAUGAGCCUCGAUCGCAUGAUUGGGGCUGGAAAGUUUUUCGGUUGAAGAUGACUUCGCGGCCUAUCAGCUUGUUGGUGAGGUAAUGGCUCACCAGGGCGACGACGGGUAGCCGGCCUGAGAGGGCGACCGGCCACACUGGGACUGAGACACGGCCCAGACUCCUACGGGAGGCAGCAGUGGGGAAUAUUGGGCAAUGGAGGAAACUCUGACCCAGCGACGCCGCGUGAGGGAUGAAGGCCUUCGGGUUGUAAACCUCUUUCAGUAGGGAAGAAGCGAAAGUGACGGUACCUACAGAAGAAGCACCGGCUAACUAUGUGCCAGCAGCCGCGGUAAUACAUAGGGUGCAAGCGUUGUCCGGAAUUAUUGGGCGUAAAGAGCUCGUAGGUGGUUCGAUACGUCGGAUGUGGAAAUCAGGGGCUCAACCCCUGACCUGCAUCCGAUACGGUCGAGCUAGAGUUUGGUAGGGGAGACUGGAAUUCCUGGUGUAGCGGUGGAAUGCGCAGAUAUCAGGAGGAACACCGAUGGCGAAGGCAGGUCUCUGGGCCAAUACUGACACUGAGGAGCGAAAGCGUGGGGAGCGAACAGGAUUAGAUACCCUGGUAGUCCACGCCGUAAACGGUGGGCGCUAGUUGUGCGAACCUUCCACGGUUUGUGCGACGCAGCUAACGCAUUAAGCGCCCCGCCUGGGGAGUACGAUCGCAAGAUUAAAACUCAAAGGAAUUGACGGGGCCCCGCACAAGCAGCGGA
rnacentral:rRNA from 1 species